ensembl:snRNA U6 U6 spliceosomal RNA
GUGCUCACUUCGGCAGCACGUAUACUAAAAUUGGAAUACAGAGAUUAGCACGGCCCCUGCGCAAGGAUGACCCGCAAAGUUGUGAAGCAUUCCAGAUUUGU